ACGAUAAAAUAAAAUAAAAUAAAAUAAAAUAAAAUAAUAAAAUAAAAAAAUAAAAGAAUGAGCUGAUCUCCAUGAACUGACUUAGGAGGAUGUUCAUGAUACAUGUAUUACAAUUUUUUAAAAAGUUCAUAACAAUCUAUGUUUCUAUCACCUGUUGCUCAGUAGCAAACCACUCCAGAAGAGGCCAGUUCUUUGGCCCAUGAGGCAUCAGCAGGGCUCAUUCCUGUGGUUGCCUUCAACUGAGAGCUUAGCUGGGCUGGAACUUCUGAGGUGGCUUCUCCUCUUCCAGGGCUUCUCUCCACGUAGCUGCUGAUCAUUCUGCCGUCUCGCCUGAGCGUCCUUGCAGCAUGGUGGCUGGAUCUUAAGAGCAACCUUCUGAGGAACAUCCUCGGAGCCAAAUCUUUUCACAUAUCCUAAAUGAUUGUCUCAGGAUAAGUUCUAAGAAAAGGCACUGCUGAGUUGAAGCUUGGGAACUUUAUAAGGAUGUCACACAUUGUGUCAGACGGUCCUGCCAACCAGCAGAUGCUCCCAGCCCAUCAGCAGGCUGGGGGAGGGCAUAUUGUGGUUCCAUCUGGUAUCUGCCCUCAUAAGAACGCAGUGCCCAUUCCACAGAUGGAAGAACUGAGACCCAGAAAGAGGAAGCAACUUGUCCCAAGCCAACACAGCAAUAUGCAGCCAAGGGGGUGGGGCACCAGAUCAGCCAGAAGUUUCUUUGCUCCCGUCUUGCCUUGGAUGCCCUAGCCUGGGCCACAUCUCCCCUCCUGCUCUGGGCAAAGUUUGCCCCCUUCCUGGCAGCCAGUGAUCUGAGCCCUGCUCACUUGCCUGCCCCUCCCCCCUCCCCGUGACCUCCCCCCUCCCCGUCUGACCUCCACCCAGAUCAAUCUGCUUUCAGUUCCCCUGAAGAAAUAAAAUGCUGCCUGGUCUCUGAA